rnacentral:sRNA from 1 species
UCGUCACCCGGAUCCCCGGGGCCGCAGUGACACUCGGAGAUCACUCUGGGUUCACUUAAAUAGGAGUCCUCUCCCCUUUUCAGGGGAACCUGCAGAGUUUGGCAGCGGAAGGAAAGGUCUCCCACCACCCUCCCCCGGUACGAAACAGCGGUGAACUUGUUAGGCGCCCUGGUCUCUCAAGAGGGGCUUGCGAGUUGGUGUUCUGCUCAUUUCUGGCGCUGGAGCCGGAUUGAACAGGUGAGGAAACUGAGGUUUAGACAAGCCGUGGGAGUUUUCCAUGCAUUUACAUCUAAUUUAGUGGUAUUUACAAGACUGGAACUUGGAUCUUCUGAUGUCCAGUCCAUUGCUUUUUGUAUUCUGCCAUCAUUUCAGUUCUGAUAGCAAUGAGGACACAUCAUGGAAACUGCAAUACACAAAGGACUGUUAAGCAUGCCCCCAGUGACCUGGGUUCUAGUUCUGGGACUACAUUUGGCUGUAUGACCUGGGCCAAAUCAUAUCACUUCCAAGUCUCAAGUGUCUCACAUAUAAAAUAAAACGUUUGUAUGAAAUUAUGUUUUUUCUUUCCAACUUUAGCAUUCUGUGAUGUUUACCAAUGUGUUUGUAAUCCAAUGUUAUCAUUUUCUCUAGAGGAAGGACAUCUUUUUACCCUACAUCACCUAAGAGACCUAGCUAAUUACUCUUUCACCUUUAGUUUAUCCCUUCCCACCUUUACUACAUACCACUUCAUCAAAGGAAUGAAACUUAACAAGUGUAUUUUAGCUUAGCAUCUACAGUAUAU